rnacentral:rRNA from 1 species
AUACGUAGGUGGCAAGCGUUGUCCGGAAUUACUGGGCGUAAAGGGUGCGUAGGCGGUCAUUACAAGUCUAAUGUGAAAUCCCCGUGCUUAACAUGAGGUUUGCAAUAGAAACUGUAAAGCUAGAGUGCAGGAGAGGUAAGUGGAAUUCCUAGUGUAGCGGUGAAAUGCAUAGAUAUUAGGAGGAACACCAGUGGCGAAGGCGACUUACUGGACUGUAACUGACGCUGAAGCACGAAAGCGUGGGGAGC